GAUGAACGCUGGCGGCGUGCCUAAUACAUGCAAGUCGAGCGAACGGACGAGAAGCUUGCUUCUCUGAUGUUAGCGGCGGACGGGUGAGUAACACGUGGAUAACCUACCUAUAAGACUGGGAUAACUUCGGGAAACCGGAUCUAAUACCGGAUAAUAUUUUGAACCGCAUGGUUCAAAAGUGAAAGACGGUCUUGCUGUCACUUAUAGAUGGAUCCGCGCUGCAUUAGCUAGUUGGUAAGGUAACGGCUUACCAAGGCAACGAUGCAUAGCCGACCUGAGAGGGGGAUCGGCCACACUGGAACUGAGACACGGUCCAGACUCCUACGGGAGGCAGCAGUAGGGAAUCUUCCGCAAUGGGCGAAAGCCUGACGGAGCAACGCCGCGUGAGUGAUGAAGGUCUUCGGAUCGUAAAACUCUGUUAUUAGGGAAGAACAUAUGUGUAAGUAACUGUGCACAUCUUGACGGUACCUAAUCAGAAAGCCACGGCUAACUACGUG
rnacentral:rRNA from 1 species